CGGCGCGGGGCGGGGCCUACGGGAGGCAGCAGUGGGGAAUAUUGCACAAUGGAGGAAACUCUGAUGCAGCAACGCCGCGUGGAGGAUGACGCAUUUCGGUGUGUAAACUCCUUUUAUAUGGGAAGAUAAUGACGGUACCAUAUGAAUAAGCACCGGCUAACUCCGUG
rnacentral:rRNA from 1 species